rnacentral:lncRNA from 10 species
UGCAUUUUCAGACCCAGAACCGUGGCCUGCCUCAGUGCCACCCACAUGGGAGCUGUGGUUACCAGUCUGCAGGCAGCUCCGGGAGAGGCUGACAGAGUGGGCCCCCAUGUGGAAGAAAGAAGCUCCAAAAUGAAUCACAACUGGCGGGUCUGACUUCGGGCCUUUGCAGAUGCUGUUCCCCUGCCUGGAGCGCACUUAUCACAAGGCCCCCAUCCCUGUGGCCGGAAUGUCAAAGGACAAUGACUACUUUGUGGGUUUCCGUAUAGCUCUCCUUUCCCACCCAUUCCCUGGGAUGCUCACUGGGGAAAGAGACCAGGCCUCUCUGCUGAAGCAGCAGUGCCUGGAGCACAGGAGGCCCUCCAUUUAGUGAUGAGAUGCCUCAGCAGCCCCCACACACCUGGGAUGAGUAUCAGCCCAUGCAGAAGAGUCCCCAUGGAAAGGAACUGAGGCCCCAGCUGACAGCC